rnacentral:rRNA from 1 species
CGCGCGUCCGGUGAGCGGGCGACGGGUUUCUAACACGUUGGACGUGCCCUUCUCUACGAGAAUAGACCUCUGUGACGCACAACUGGAGAGUAAUACCGUAUACGCCCUUUGGGGGAAAGAUUUAUCGGAGAAGGAUCGGCCCGCGCUAGAUUAGGUAGUUGGUGGUGUAACGGCCUACCAAGCCUACGAUCUAUAGCUGGUUUUAGAGGAUGAUCAGCAACACUGGUGACUGAGACACGUGCCCAGACUCCUACUGGAGUGCAGCAGUGGGUGAAUCUUAGACAAUGGGGUGCAACCCGUGAUCUUAGCCAUGCCUGCGUGAGUGAUGAAGGCCUUAGGGUCGUAAAGCUCUUUCGACUGUGAUGAUAAUGACAGUAAGCAUGUAAAGAAACCCCGGGUAACUCUGUGCCAGCAGCCGCUGUGAACUACCGGCGGGGGUUACGCGUUGUCGGGAAUUACUUGGGGCGGUAACGCGCGGCGUAGGCGGAUUAGACAGUCGGGGCGUACACCCGGUGCUCACCCCGACACUGCUCCACAAUGUAAUCUAAAGUUCAGAAA